UACGGGGGGGGCAAGCGUUGUUCGGAAUUACUGGGCGUAAAGGGCGCGUAGGCGGCCUGACAAGUGGAAGGUGAAAUCCCUCGGCUCAACUGAGGAACUGCCCUCCAAACUGUUUGGCUUGAGACCGGGAGAGGUGAGUGGAAUUCCCAGUGUAGCGGUGAAAUGCGUAGAUAUUGGGAGGAACACCAGUGGCGAAGGCGGCUCACUGGACCGGUACUGACGCUGAGGCGCGAAAGCGUGGGGAGCAAACGGG
rnacentral:rRNA from 1 species